GACGGGGGAUGCGAGCGUUAUCCGGAAUGAUUGGGCGUAAAGGGUCCGCAGGUGGCCCGGUCAGUCCGCUGUCAAAGCCUGGGGCUCAACCCUGGAGAGGCGGCGGAGACCACCGGGCUUGAGUCCGGUAGGGGCAGAGGGAAUUCCCGGUGUAGCGGUGGAAUGCGCAGAUAUCAGGAGGAACACCAAUAGCGAAGGCAGCUCGCUGGGACGGUAUUGACGCUAAGGCGCGAAAGCGUGGGGAGCAAACAGG
rnacentral:rRNA from 1 species